UACGUAGGGCGCGAGCGUUGUCCGGAAUUAUUGGGCGUAAAGAGCUCGUAGGCGGCCUGUCGCGUCGGUUGUGAAAGCCCGGGGCUCAACCCCGGGUCUGCAGUCGAUACGGGCAGGCUAGAGUUCGGUAGGGGAGACUGGAAUUCCUGGUGUAGCGGUGAAAUGCGCAGAUAUCAGGAGGAACACCGGUGGCGAAGGCGGGUCUCUGGGCCGAUACUGACGCUGAGGAGCGAAAGCGUGGGGGAGCGAACAGG
rnacentral:rRNA from 1 species